CGGACGUGAGGAACCUGCCUUUCAGAGGGGGACAACAGUUGGAAACGACUGCUAAUACCGCAUAAUGCAUAGGUAUCGCAUGGUACAGAUGCCAAAGAUUUAUCGCUGAGAGAUGGCCUCGCGUCUGAUUAGCUAGUUGGUAGGGUAACGGCCUACCAAGGCGACGAUCAGUAGCCGGACUGAGAGGUUGGCCGGCCACAUUGGGACUGAGAUACGGCCCAGACUCCUACGGAAGGCAGCAG
rnacentral:rRNA from 1 species